ACGAACGCUGGCGGCGUGCUUAACACAUGCAAGUCGAACGGAAAGGCCCUGCUUUUGUGGGGUGCUCGAGUGGCGAACGGGGGAGUAACACGUGAGUAACCUGCCCUUGACUUUGGGAUAACUUCAGGAAACUGGGGCUAAUACCGGAUAGGAGCUCCUGCUGCAUGGUGGGGGUUGGAAAGUUUCGGCGGUUGGGGAUGGACUCGCGGCUUAUCAGCUUGUUGGUGGGGUAGUGGCUUACCAAGGCUUUGACGGGUAGCCGGCCUGAGAGGGCGACCGGCCACAUUGGGACUGAGAUACGGCCCAGACUCCUACGGGAGGCAGCAGUGGGGAAUAUUGCACAAUGGGCGGAAGCCUGAUGCAGCAACGCCGCGUGCGGGAUGACGGCCUUCGGGUUGUAAACCGCUUUCGCCUGUGACGAAGCGUGAGUGACGGUAAUGGGUAAAGAAGCACCGGCUAACUACGUG
rnacentral:rRNA from 1 species